AUGAACCUGCUGCUGAUUUUCCUGUUCAUGCUGGAGGCCCCUUCAGGUGUCCUCUCCCAAGUGCAGCUGCGGGAAACGGGCCCGGGAGCGGUGAAACCCAGGGAGUCCCUGACACUAACUUGUACCAUCUCCGGAGACUCGGUUUCUAGCACCAGUGUCACCUGGGACUGGAUCCGGCAGCCUGUGGGGAAAGGGCUGGAAUGGGUAGGGUGCAUUUACUACAGACCGAGCCAGUGGUCCACUAACUACGCCAGCUCUCUGCAGAGUCGAACGACCAUCGCACAAGACACUGCCAAGAACCAGUUCUCCCUGCAGCUCCGCUCGCUGACAGCUGCAGACACCGCCGUGUAUUACUGCACCAGGAGAGACACAGUGACAGAGAGCGAAGCAGGGACCGCAUUGGGUGAAAACCCCAUGUACACCUCUGCCCCCAGUGAGUCCCUGUUUAAACACAAGUCUCUGAUUCUAGAUACUCCAAUGUUCAUCCAGGAAUAUGUCGUCCAGAACCUGGAGCCCAAGUCUUCCACAAGUCGCAUCACCAUCUCGGUGAACCCUUCCAAGAACCAGUUCUCCCUGCAGCUCCGCUCGCUGACAGCCGCAGACACCGCCACCUAUUACUGCGCCAGGAGCUACACAGUGAUACAGAGCAAAGCAGGGACCCGUACAAAAAUGGGAAGCGGAUUCUGA